rnacentral:rRNA from 1 species
GAUGAACGCUGGCGGCGUGCCUAAUACAUGCAAGUCGAGCGAACAGACGAGGAGCUUGCUCCUCUGACGUUAGCGGCGGACGGGUGAGUAACACGUGGAUAACCUACCUAUAAGACUGGGAUAACUUCGGGAAACCGGAGCUAAUACCGGAUAAUAUAUUGAACCGCAUGGUUCAAUAGUGAAAGACGGUUUUGCUGUCACUUAUAGAUGGAUCCUCGCCGCAUUAGCUAGUUGGUAAGGUAACGGCUUACCAAGGCGACGAUGCGUAGCCGACCUGAGAGGGUGAUCGGCCACACUGGAACUGAGACACGGUCCAGACUCCUACGGGAGGCAGCAGUAGGGAAUCUUCCGCAAAGGGCGAAAGCCUGACGGAGCAACGCCGCGUGAGUGAUGAAGGUCUUCGGAUCGUAAAACUCUGUUAUUAGGGAAGAACAAAUGUGUAAGUAACUAUGCACGUCUUGACGGUACCUAAUCAGAAAGCCACGGCUAACUACGUG